rnacentral:lncRNA from 1 species
AUAAUUAAGCUUCUAUAAUAAAUAAAGUACAAUUAAUGCCCAAAAAAAUGAGACAAAAAUCAGAUAAAAACUGGUUCAUAAUGAAUAAGUGGAUCAUAAUUUGUGAUUAUAAAAAUUUUCCGAAUGUCUAAUAGAAAAUACACAUGUAUAAUUCACAAACUUGUGGCAUGCGUGAGUCUAGAAAAAACAAGGCAUAAGUCAGUAGUCUACAGAUACAUCGUUGCCCUUCUGUGGCAGUCCUACAUCAUUCCAAUGUCCUAUCGCUUUCAUUUCUAAAUAGUUUCUCGGAGAAUAUCAAACCACAUGUAGUGGAAGUCAUCAUGUCACCCCACUUCUCUGAGACUCUGAAUGAUCAUGAUGGAGAUUUAGUAAAAUGAAUUAAAAAAGAAAAGGAAAAAAAAAAAAGGCAUGAAUCAUGGAACAUUGGUGGAUUGGCGCGUAAAACACGGUACAGAGCUCGCAAUUUGCGCCACCGAUUUCCUAACGCGGAUUUAGAAGAUCUCUCCCAUAUUUUCGUUAAAGGUGAAGACAUGGACGAAAACAAGAUGUGAAUCUCAUUAUUGGAACAUCUUUGCUGGCUUUCUUAAACCAAUUAAGCAACAAUUAAUAGCUCGAAUGG